ACCAGAAUAGGACUUCCUUGUCUCUCCCCUUCCCACUACAAUCCAAAACAAUCCCUCAAGUAUUGUCGAAGGCUUUCACAGCCGGAGAACGAUGGUUGUUGGGGGACUGCUUCAGGAAAGUCAAACUGGCAAAAAUUGUUAUUGUCCCCUUCCAUUCAUGGAAACUUUCCGGGGCAUCAAGCAAAUGUAAUUUUGCCCAAAUGUUCCUUUUUUGUCAAAAUCUUAACCUCACGUCCACCAGUCAUUUUAAAGAAAAGACACACCUGUAGUAAUCAGACGGAAAACUCACAAUGAUGUUUUAAAAUGGCAGAUGCCGUUUUUUUUUU